AAGACUGUUAUGAUAAUCCAUUUCCAUGGCUCUCCAAAGAAACUUUCCAGAUGAAGAGAAAUGCUCCAUGUCUGUGCUGUGCAAGAUGGGAGCUUCUGGACACCAGUGGCUACUGAGCACUCGAACUGUGGCUGGUGCAACCAAGGAACCGAAAUUUUUUUUACUUAAUUUUUAUUUUACUUAAUUUUUUUUACUUAAUUUUUAUUUUACUUUAUUCUAAUUAGCUAAAGCUUAAUUUUUAGUAGCUAGUGGCUGCCAUCAGAGUCCAGCAUACUUUAACAUUUAUAUUGUCUUAAUCUUUUCUCUUUUUUUUUCUUUAAAAUAUACACAGAGACAGUGUCUCCCUUUGUUGCCCAUUCUUGGCUUGAACUCCUGGGCUAAAGCAGUCCUCUUGCCUCAGCCUCCCAAAGAUGGGAUUACGGGUGCGAGCCACCACACUCUGCCACUUACAGUAUCUUCUUGUUUUACAUGUUUUCUCCAGAUCUUGAUCCUCAAAAUUGAAAAUCAGUUGUGAGUAUUGCAUUAUUAUGCCUGUAAAAAUUAUCCUUAACUUCACAAGCCGAACAGUAUAGAGUAAUUCCAUUCUGUUCCUUUACUGCUUUUAUUGUUAUUUCUUGAUGUUUUCUAAUUGUUUUUCUAUUUUUCUUUCUUUGGCUGCGCUGCCCAUAUUGGUUACUCCAUAAUUUCAGGGGUGGUAUCACGCUCUGUGAUUCCAUUUUCCCCUGAAUACUUUGCUUUUGGAAACUUUUCCUCUCUUACCGAGCUCCAUGCUGAUGUUUGCUGUGUGGUUCAGCUGCCUGAUUCCCAUCCAAGGAUUUCCCUUUGCAACGCUCCCAGGUUGAGUCUUCUGUUUCCCGGAUUCCACCACUUCCAUUUUUUAGUUUACUCCCUUAUUUUGCUGGGGUCCAUCAUCAAGUAACUUCCUAAGAAGGGAUCAGCAACCUACUUUCCACGGGCCGCUUUUGGCUUGCUGCCUAUUUUUGCACAGCUGAGAGUACACCAUCCUGAUCUGAGCAUGAGAAAAGAAGUUCCCUGAGGGCAGGACUUUAUUUGGUUCACUGCUGCGUCCUCACUGCCUAGACACAGUGCUCAAAAAUAUUUGCUGAAUGCUAUGGCUAGGCUUUGUGUCCCCACCCAAACCUCGUCUUGAAUUGUAAUCCCCAUAAUCUCCAUGUGUCAAGGGAGACACCAGGUAGAGGAAAUUGAAUCAUGGGGGUGGUUUCCCCCAUGCUGUUCUUGUGAGAGUGAGUUCUCAUGAGAUCUGAUGGUUUUAUAAGGGGCUCUUACCCCAUUACUCAGCACUUCUCUUUCCUGCCACCUUGUGAAGAAGGCGCCUUGCUUCCCUUCACCUUCCACUGUGAUUGUAAGUUUCCUGAGGCCUCCCUAGCCAUGCUGAAUUAAACCUCUUUAAUUUAUAAGAGUCAAUUAAACCUCUUUCCUUUAGAAAUUACCCAGUCUCUGGCAGUUCUUUAUGGCAGUAUGAAAAUGGACUAAUACACUGGAUGAAUGAACACAAAAUUCUAGAGUGAAAUAUAAAUCCUUCAGAACUUUGAAGGCUGUGCUCGCUGACCUUCUAACCCUUAAUGCUACUUCUGUGAAAUCUGGAGCCCUUUGAUUCCUUGUUUCUGUGAAAGUGACUUAUUUUCUGUGUUUGGGAGAUUUUAAGAUUUUCUCUUUAUUUCCGGAGUUUGGAAAUUUUGCAGUGACUUGAAAUUCUUCAUCCUAGGCACUCGAUGAGACUUUUUAAUCUAAAUAUUCUUGGACUUCAGGGGGAUCCUUUAUGUUAUUUCUUUGACUAUGUCAUCAAAUAAUAUUUCCUGAAAAUUUCACUUGAAUUUAUCACCCAACCUAUCAAAAUCUUUAUUUAACAAUUAUAUUUGCAAUAUCCAAGGGGUCUUUCUUGUUUUCAGAUUAUCUAUCUUUCUUAGCAUCCUGUUCUUUUUAAUGGAUACAAUAUCUUCAGGACUGUCUCUAAGGAUACUGAUUAGAAG
rnacentral:lncRNA from 1 species